GGAGUCUGGUCCGUGUCUCAGUACCAGUGUGGGGGACCUUCCUCUCAGAACCCCUACGCAUCGUAGCCUUGGUGGGCCGUUGCCCCGCCAACUAGCUAAUGCGCCGCAUGCCCAUCCCCUACCGACGGAUCUUUCCCCGCGCAACGAUGCCGACGCGCGGACUACGGGGCAUUAAUCCAACUUUCGCUGGGCUAUUCCCCGACUAUGGACAGAUUGCACACCUGUUACGCACCCGUGCGCCGGUCGCCGCCAGGAAAAGCAAGCUUCUCCCGCGCUGCCCCUCGACUUGCAUGUGUUAGGCCUGUCGCUAGCGUUCAUC
rnacentral:rRNA from 1 species